rnacentral:rRNA from 1 species
GACGAACGCUGGCGGCGUGCCUAAUACAUGCAAGUAGAACGAGUUGCGAACGGGUGAGUAAGGCGUGGGAACCUGCCUAAUAGCGGGGGAUAACUAUGGGAAACGAUAGCAAAUACCGCAAAAUGUGAGAUGGAACGGCGUUGUAUUAGCUAGUUGGUGAGGUAAAGGCUCACCAAGGCGACGAUACAUAGCCGACCUGAGAGGGUGAUCGGCCACACUGGAACUGAGACACGGUCCAGACUCCUACGGGAGGCAGCAGUGGUGAAUAUUGCACAAUGGGCGCAAGCCUGAUGCAGCCAUGCCGCGUGUAUGAAGAAGGCCUUCGGGUUGUAAAGUACUUUCAGCGGGGAGGCGUUACCCGCAGAAGAAGCACCGGCUAACUCCGUGCCAGCAGCCGCGGUAAUUC